CACGGGCCCCCAGGCGUCCUGCCAUUGGCCGAGGCGCCCUCACGUGCCCUCUAACGCUCUUCCCCGCCGCCCCGCCCCUGCACGCGGCACCGGUCCCACCCCCUCUUCCCCUGAAGCGCUCCGGCUCCCGGGGAUCUCCUCGGCGGCAGCGGCGGCGGCGAAGGGCCGGUCGGGUGAGCCGAGCCCAGUCUGGGAGGGGGCGUGGGGCUGCAUCGGCGGCGACUGGCCGGCACACGCGGCGCAGGUGCAGGACGGAGCGAGCAGGGGACAAGUCCGGCGUGGAAAAGCCACGUUUGAAACGGAUGGCAACAACUUCUGCAGCCGGCGGGACGUGGCCUGGCGUGAACGGCAACCUCUCGGCCUCGCCUCCUCGCCGCCCCCGCGGCGCUCCCCAGGCUCUAAAGCGCCAGCGCGCGGGAGCGCAGGGCCGGCCGAGGAGGCCCGGGGCCGCGCGGGCGGCAGUUUCGCUGGGCCCCACUGGGCCCCGCCCCAGGUCCCAGGCCCCGCCCCCGAGGCCCUCCCUCCUCCUCCCGUGUCGGCCCCGCCCCACUGGUCAGGCUUCAGCUGCGCCAAUGGGAUUUUAUUUUAUUCUUCAAUUUGGCCCGAUCUUAAACCACGUGAGGAAACCUCUGCAUUGUGACCAGGCGGUCACGUGAUUUGUCUCAGCUCGCUAACAGCUCUGGGGAGAUGAGUUUUGCGAAGGAAGAAGGUUAGCUUGUUAACAUACUACUUCCGCAGCCUGUCUGGUGGCAAAAACCAAUGGAGAGCACUAAUGACAGGCACGGAGCCUGCAGAAAAGCGUUAGGUAAUAAGCCUCCGGGAGUGAACGGAUCCACGCGUGAGAAGCGUUGCCUCACUCGUCAUGAUGGAGGGGCUGGAUCUUAACCCGGCGCCUAGACACAUUGCGUUUUCUUACGCCCGGGUUUUAGCUCUUGAAAGUUGCUAGGCAAAGCGUUUUCGGUUAUUCUGUUCUGCUCUGCGAUGAGAAAGCUAAAAGAAGAGGAAGAAAAAAAAAAAUCUAAAGUGAGGAGUGUCGUGGGAGGUCCUGAAAGUUAAGUUCUGCCUGCAGGUGUCUGAAUGUACGCCUUCGCCUUCAGACGAAUAUAGCUGCAGGUAAACGGCACAGCCUCCAACGGCUGGUGGUGCAGAAGAAACGGUUCUGAGUGGGUCAGUAGUUUUUCCAAACAAAUAGCUAAAGAACAUGGGGGAGGGGGUAGAACAAUGCCCCUCGUUAAUUUAAUAACAUUUCAUUAAAAAAAUUUUAUGUUUAUUUUAUUUUUGAAAGAGACGGAGCAUGAGCGGGGGAAGGGCAGAGAGAGAGGGAGACACAGAAUCCGCAGCAGGCUCCAGGCUCUAAGCUGUCAGCACAGGGCCGGAUGUGGGGCUGGAACCCACAAACAAAAUGGAAGAAAGCCAGCCGUCAGAAGGAUGUGGCGCUCAGCAAGUCUACGGGGACUGGGGCGCGAGAGUCUGGCUCAGAAGCACCCAAGAGCCCUUCACCAGAGUAUUUUGUUAUGGCGAGAGAUGAGAAUGAAGGAAAGAGUCUCCCGAUUCAGACUCUGGUAAGCCUUGCCAAGGAGCUGGACUUCUCUUUGAAUGGGAUUUGGGGUCCCCGGAGGAUGUUAAACUGGGGAGUGACAGACUCAACAUGUGCACCCAGAAGACCUCUCUGGCAGGAAUGUUGGGCGUAAAGGGUAAAGGUAGGAGGUCAGAGAGCAACUGGGAUCUGGGGUCCAAGGUGUGUGCUGGUGAGGCGUCUCCAUGGCAAGAACAGGAGGAAGGAUCACAAAUACCCCGGAGGUAGACUUGCGCAGGCAGGAGAGAGCCACAGUAAGGCUCACGCCCACGUUUGUAGCUUGGACGACACGGUGGCAAGAAAGGGACACAAGCAGAGAAGCGGUUUUCCAGGGAACACGAUUGCAGUCGUGGGGCCCACUGAGUUUGAGCUGUGUCUGCAACACGCUGAUAGAGGUGUCUUCGCUGGCAUGGAAAUCCAGACCUGACAUUCAGGAUAGAGUGUCAACGUAUUUCAGGUUAGGUAUUCAUCAGGUCAAUUUGAGUUUGAGGGACACCCGGGAAGCUGCCUAGUGACCUUGAAAUCACAGUCACCAGAGGCACUGGGAUCAGCACCGUUGCCUGACCCACGUGUUCCUCCCUGGCCAUUGAACUGGGUUUCCUUUGCCCCCACUAGGGGGCCAUCCCCCAACCAAUGUCAGCCAGCAGUUAGUUUAUGGGACAGUCACAGGGGACGCUAGGUAUGGCACAGUGUCCUGGCUGCUGUGGCAUUUACAGAAACACUAGAGAUAGAUGUAGCCCCUCUCAAAAAAAAAAAAAAAAAAAAGGGAUUCAAAAGCCGCUAUCAAUGAGAUACAGAGAUUGUGUACACCUUCAUCCUCGUGUGUGUGUGCGCGUGUGUGCCUGGGGUUACCUCUUCUGAGUGCCCCCAUCUUCUAUGUUCAUCAGGGCGCUGCCCAUAUCACAGAAAACCCUCUCUUCUUCAGACCCUGACCCUUCUGGGACACGUUUCUGCGAUGGCCUUUAGUAACCUAGAAAUGCUUUUCCCACGUCUGCCUUCCCCGGAGGAUGGAUUGCUUCAGUUAGGCCCUUGAGGUCUCUCUGGAGUUGCAGAGAGGGCCCCAGAGGAUCUAGUUUUCCGGCUGCCCUGCCGCCACCAGCCAUCGACCCGCAGAGAGGCCUGCUGCUUCACUCUGGAGAGCAGAAGGGGUGCGUAAAAGCAGGGCAGAGAGAAGGCCCUUGGUUCAGAAUCAGAGCUGCCCCUUCAUACCUUUCAGAAGCUCUUAUCUUCAAGGAUGCCUACGACACAGUGGCCCUGCCCUCACGUCCUCCUCUGACGCCGGUCCCAACCCGGCCGUGUGUGCCACGCUGCGGUUUUGAUCUCCUCGACCCAGAAAGCCCCUUCUCUUGGCUCGCUGGACACCAGCCCCGGCGGCUUCGGUCCUGCCCCGCUGGGCUGUCUGAGCAGCGAGGUGGUCUCGUACGUUUGAAUUUUCGGCGGAGCCUCCCGAGGCAGCAAUCACAUCCUAGGCACCCUGUGUUUCCCAGGGCCUACCGUUUGUUCACAGAUCCCACUGCUGCUGUGGUCUAGCCCCGCCUCUCAGACUGUUCUCUUUCCUCCUGCUGCUCUCAUUGGCCGUCCUCCCCCAGAGCUUGGGACGUGCUGGCAACCCCCUCCAAUGUGUCCAUGUCACCAGCCCUCCCCCCCUUCUGCUGGCGGGGUAGUAGGGGGAGGUGCCUAGGGCCUGGGCUGGAUAGUAACUUCUUCAGGGCCACCCCUGACACUUCCCCAGUGUAGAAGUUCAACUCAUUUACUCACCCCCCACCCCUUUUCCUGACUUGAUUUCCACUGACCCGUCAUUAAAGAACUCAUUUCUUAUUGAA